GCGGGUGUAGCUCAGUGGUAGAGCACAACGUUCCCAACGUUGGGGUCGUGGGUUCAAGCCCCAUUACCCGCUCCA
rnacentral:tRNA from 1 species